rnacentral:rRNA from 1 species
UACGAAGGGGGCUAGCGUUGCUCGGAAUGACUGGGCGUAAAGGGCGCGUAGGCGGAUGGCACAGUCAGAUGUGAAAUUCCCGGGCUUAACCUGGGGGCUGCAUUUGACACGUGUUGUCUUGAGUUCGGAAGAGGGUCGUGGAAUUCCCAGUGUAGAGGUGAAAUUCGUAGAUAUUGGGAAGAACACCGGUGGCGAAGGCGACGACCUGGUCCGACACUGACGCUGAGGCGCGAAAGCGUGGGGAGCAAACAGG